rnacentral:rRNA from 1 species
UACGGAGGGUGCAAGCGUUAUCCGGAUUCACUGGGUUUAAAGGGUGCGUAGGAGGGCAGGGAAGUCCGUGGUGAAAUCUCCGAGCUUAACUCGGAAACUGCCGUGGAUACUCUCUGUCUUGAAUCCCGUGGAGAUGAGCGGAAUAUGUCAUGUAGCGGUGAAAUGCUUAGAUAUGACAUAGAACACCAAUUGCGAAGGCAGCUCGCUACACGAAUAUUGACUCUGAGGCACGAAAGCGUGGGGAUCAAACAGG